ensembl:lncRNA
CGUCUCGACCCCCCGCGCCCCCCGCACCCCCAACCCGCCACUCGGGGGCUCCCAGGGAGGCUCUCGGCCUGCACCAGAGCCUCUGGGUUGGGGGUAACACCUGGGGAGCCGGGGGGGGGGGGGGGGAGGGGGAACCUCCCUUUCCAGUCACCCCCCUCCGGCGCUCAGGCAGGAGCAUGCUUAGAAGGCGGGCCCCCACCUUGUGCCUGCCGCCUUCGCCUCCGCCUCCUGUCCCAGGCACGGGGGGAAUGGCCACCCCAGAGAGCCCCAGAGACACCGGAGACUGUAAGCUCCCUGCGGGAGGGUAGAGAGAGCCCUGGCCGCAGAGGAGGAAGAUGGGGCAAGGGAAGAUGUUCCCAUCUGGGAAAUGGGGAUAACGAUGGCUGUAUUGUUAUUAUCUGUUAUCUGUCUACUAGACUAUAACCUGCAGGCAGAACCACGAACUGGGGGCCUGCUGGCCUCCUGCCGCUGGCACAAUAUAGGGAGCUGACGUUGGAGUCUGAGAGAGCUGGGUUUGAAUCCUGAGCCCCUAGUGGCCAAAGUGCUGGGCUUGGACCCAGGGAGCCCACCUAGGAAGCUAACAAGCUGCAUGGCUGGUCCUGGACUAUUUCUUGGCUUCUCUGUGUCUCAGUGUUCUUAUCUGCAAAAUGGGGGGUCGGGGGAAGGAAUGCCUGCCUAUUCCCUUUUUUUCUUAUCCGCCACAUUAUAUCUAGUAGAUUUAAUAAUGGACAGGGAGACCAGAAGACAUGAAUACAAAUUCAGCUCCUAAUGCUAGCUGGGUGACCCUGGGCAAGUCACUUAACCCCCAUUGCCUAGCCCUUACCACUCUUCUGCCUUAGGACUGAUACUUAGUAUUGAUUCUAAGACAGAAGCUAAAGGUUUUUUAAAAAUCAAUUAAAACUGGAAUAUUGAGACCAAGAAAUGAAAAAUAACCCAUUGGAAAGGAUUUAUCACUGUGAUUUAUUUUCUCCUCUUUCUCAAUCUUCUUCCCUCCAUCAAUGGUUGGGCCAGCAGACUUGCCCUGAACUUGGUCAAGGCCCUUUGACUCACUUCUUGCCAGGCCAGCCCUGGACCCUCCCCAAGGGUAGGCCACCUCCUUGUUUGGCCAGUGUCUGGAUACUUCAGGAGCCUGUGUUCAGGCUGCUAAUAAUUCAGCCAAAUGGUGGCCGAAUGGCCGGGCUCCAUCUCCUCAGACUGGCCAGACUCUGUGUGCCUCCCUCAGUGGCCUCAGCUGCAAAACGAAGAAGAUGGUCUUGGGAAGAAUGGCGGGCGUCCAUUCUAGAUCCCAAACCCAAAUGUACUGGGGAGGAGAGAGGUCAAAUGCAGAGAAGGCUAUUGUAAUAGUUCAGGGGCAAGGAUCGGAGGGACCCGACUAUGAGUGGAGACAAGGGGAUGGAUGUGGGAAAUGGAAUGUUGGGAAAAGUAGAGUCGACAAGGCACGGCCACUGAUUCAAUAUGGCGGAUGAGAGGCCGGUGGAAAGGGACGGGUGCUAUCCCUGCCUCUACGAGGAUGGGCCAGGGAACAAAAGGCGGGGAGAGAGCAUCAAGGAGACUGAAGGGGAACCCAUAGAGCUCACAGUGAGUGGUGGGAUGAGGAAGGCUCCCACCCCUAUAAAACAGGGCUCCUCUGACAUUCCCACCCUCUGACAGGUUUCAUAAUUCCUUCGUGGUGUCACAAGGAUGCCCUGUCAGGUUCCCAGCUUGGGUGCCAGGGUGACUCAAAGAGUUCUUCCAUAUAUAUCAAUCACAGGAGAAAGAACCUGAAUUACCAGAGGGAUUAUGGGCAGGGUGUGACCACAGGCCAGGAGGGCACCCAGCCCCUCAGGGAGCAUCAAGGGGGAUGCUCCUGAACCACAGAAAUUGAAAGGAGUUGGGUGGGGCAAUUUCCCUGGAAGAAGCUGGCUGGGUGGGUCUCCAGGUUUCUAACCUAGAGCCUGGGUGGUGCCAUGUGUGAAGAAAGAACUAGAUUUGGAAUUCGGAGAGCCCUGGGUUCCAAGUCCAUUUCCCACCUGUGGAAGGAGUCUCUUAGCCUAUUUGAUCUCUCUGAGGGCGUUGGACUAAGUAACCACAAAGGUCCCAUCCAAUUCUCUCUGCCUCCCUAGCUUUCAGGAGCUUUUAUUUGUCAAUUUUUAAUUAAUUUGUUCAUUACAUUAAAAUUCCCAGGUAUCUCCCUUCUUCCCUCUCUCCUGCACUAGAGAAGGCAUCAUUUGAUAAAAUGACAAACCAACAUAGAAAACUACAGCUUGCAUGUUUCUAUCAGUUCUUUUUCUGGAGGCGAAGUCAUUCUUCAAGCAAGAUUCUGGUUGCUGUAUCUAAUGUUCUCUCAUUUCACUCUUCAUAA